rnacentral:sRNA from 1 species
UGAUAAAAUUAAAUCAGCACUCAAAGCAGACACACAAUUAACACUAAAAACAGAUAGACAAUCAAUAAAUUAAACACAACAGACAGACAAUCAACAAACACAACAGACAGACAAUCAACACUCAAAGUUAAAGCAAAGUUCUACAUUUCAAACAUAAAUCCCUUCACAAUCACUUCUCUCAUUCUCUGCUACUUCCAAGUCAACAUCGAUGUCAACUGUUGUUGGCAAUGGCCCAAUGUCAAGAGUAACAUCGUCACUCUCUUUCUCUCUAAAUCUUCUCGACGGACCUCUCAUUGGAACAUGCCAAGAUGAUGAGUCAUCUUCACGCAGGA